rnacentral:misc_RNA from 1 species
GAUCUAUUUGAGACAUUCUUUGGACCUUCUAUGGGUGGUUUUGGAAUGGAUGGAGCUGGAUUUGGAACGCGUCGCCGCAGUACUGUUACCAAGGGUGAAGAUCUACGUUACGACAUGACAUUAGAAUUUUCAGCGGCUAUCUUUGGAGCUGAAAAAGAUUUCGAGCUUUCACAUCUUGAAACUUGUGAGGUCUGUGUGGGAACUGGGGCAAAGGUAGGCUCCAAAAUGAGGAUAUGUUCAACUUGUGGUGGCCGAGGUCAAGUUAUGAGGACCGAACAAACACCGUUUGGCAUGUUUUCUCAGGUUUCUGUCUGCCCAAACUGUGGUGGGGAUGGUGAAAUGAUCUCUGAAUAUUGUCGUAAAUGCUCAGGCGAGGGGCGGAUACGAGUGAAGAAAGAUAUAAAAGUCAAGAUACCCCCUGGAGUUAACAAGGGAAGUAUCCUCAGAGUUGCUGGUGAGGGUGAUGCAGGUCCUAGGGGUGCCCCACCGGGAGAUCUUUAUGUCUAUCUUGACAUUGAAGAGAUACCUGAGAUCCAAAGAGAUGGCAUAAAUCUGAUUUCAACAGUUUCAGUCGGUUAUCUAGAUGCUAUACUUGGGGCUGUUGUUAAGGUUAAAACAGUGGAUGGUUUGACUGAUCUCCAGAUUCCUCCAGGCACUCAACCUGGGGAUGUGCUUGUCUUGGCAAGGAAAGGAGCACCAAAGCUAAAUAAGCCAUCAAUACGCGGUGAUCACUUGUUCACGAUUAAAGUUAGCAUACCAAAACGCAUCAGUGUGAUGGAGCGUGAAUUGCUUGAAGAACUUGCUUCUCUUACUAAGGGAUCAAGCACUCGUACAAAAACUCGCCCGGCGGUUCAGCAAACGGCAAAAGUUACUGAAACUCCAGUAGGUUCAGAUUCAAGUGCAGCAAAAACUGAUGAGUCAUCAUCAGAAGAUCGAGACGAUCCAUUGAAGAAGUUAGCAAAUUUUGCUGGGUCUGUCGUAAAUGGUGCACUGAAAUGGUUAAGAGACAACCUGUAGUACUUGGUGCUGGGAUACUGCCUCAGCAAUCUUCUUUUAUACGACAAUGGCAUUGAAUUUUAUGUGCUUCAAAACAGCCAUUAUUGCAUCUUGCGGCCUUUCAUUUCUUAGAAUAACUUUUUGGUGAUUCUGCCUGUAAAAUUGAAUCCAGCCACCUUAUUCUUUUAGGAAACCUAAUCCUUCGCCUUUGUAAAUUCUGACAAAUAUAUUCUCCACCUCAAAGAAGUUGGUGAGAUGGAUUCUAACAGCUAUUUUUGUAUAAGAAAUUUUGUAUGUCAGCAAGCAUUUAACA